CCUCCCUCCCCCUCCCCCAACUCUGACCUUAUCCAGAACAGCUCUGUGUGGCUUGGGCUCACAGUUCAAUGGGGAGACUGACCCGGAAAAGCCUGCAAGCCCCCUGUGCUGAGUGCUGCAUCAUCAUUCUCUCCAGAUCUUCCGAACCCAUGUGAAAGCCGGACAUGGUGGCAUGUGUCUGUAGUCCCAGCAUUCCUGUGGAAGAUGGGAGGCAGAGACAGGAGAAUAUCCUCAAAGAUCCUGCACCACCUAGCCUGGAGUACAAUGCAGCCUCAAACAACAAGAAAGACUCUGCUUCAAAAACAAGGCACUGUGUUAAGAGCUUCAUGAAUGGAUUCAUUUAGCACCUUCUCCCUGAGGAAAUGCUACAUUGAUCAGCAAUUGUCCAGUCUGAAAUGAAAGAUCCAGAUACAGCCAACUUCAGAGUUUCCAGAGUCUCUCCUGAGGACAUGUCUUAGCCCCAAGAUGCCAUAUUCUUUCACUUCUGUGGGUGAAGACUGCCCUCACCGUCACUGGGAAGUGUCCACCAUUCACUGACAGCCAGCAGCUUGUAUGAGGGACUAUUAGAAGAAGAGGAAGCCCUGAGGGUCCCUGCUGCUUUGCCAGCGAUUUCCAGCCCCCAUGCAGAGGCUCAGCAAGGGCAUUUUGGACACAGCCUUAACGCUGUGGUUUCCAAGGAAAGUGGAUUUUGGACCCAUGUUGAGUCUGGACCACACUGAUCCCUUUGCACACAGCUCUGUCCUCAUUGACCCAAACAUUGUUCAUCUCAAGGCUACUGAUCCCUUCCUUCAACAUUCUAGAACAUCUACAUUGGCCUUGUCCUCUGUUUGCUCUGGUAUGUGGUUACUCUCACAAUCCGAGGUCAACAAAAGUGACUUGUCACCAAAGUUCUGUGUGGGGGGCUUCAGAUAAGCAUGAGCCAUUGAAGCCUCCCUUUACUUCCAAGACACCCCCAAGAGGCCCAGGCUGCAGGUCACCCCUACCCUGGGCUUUAUCAAACUUGACUUUGAAUUGUGUUCAGCUGGAGACCUUAGGAAAGUACAGACUGCUCCACUGAUGCCCCUGGUUGUCUGGGUCUGGUUCAUCCCCCAAGUGUGCAUGUAAGGGGAGCUUACUGCCUGUGGAAGAGACUGUAUAGUUCUGAUGGGACUGGGACAUCUGAGUUAGUUCUUAUGAUAGGCUCUGGCUUCCUGUUUGGCUGUGACCUCUUCCUCUCAAACAUGUGCCCACCAUGAUGCCUUUGGCUUUAGAUCUUCCCCAGAGCUGACCCAGUGGAGCUCCUCAGUCUUGGACUUGAACCCUCCAGAACCAUGAGCUAAAUAUCUUUUCUAAACUGGGUGUGGCAGAACAUACCUGUAAUACUCACACUCAGGAGGUGGAGGUUGGAAGAUCAGAAGUUUGAGGCUAGAGAGGUAGCUCAGUGGGUAAGAGCAUUUAUUGCUAUUGCAGAGGACCAGAG